UACGGAGGUGCAAGCGUUGUCCGGUAUUUAUUGGGUUUAAAGGGUUAGCGUAGGCGGCCCUGUAAGUCAGUUGGAUGGAAAAGCCUCCAGCUACAACUGGAGAACUGCCAUUGAUAGCUGCGAGGGCUUGAGUACAGAACGAGGUUUGGACUGGAAUUGAUAGUGUAGGCGGAUGAAAUGCAUUAGAUAACUAUCAAGAACUCCGAGUUGCGAUAGGCAGCUAACGUAGGCUGUA
rnacentral:rRNA from 1 species